rnacentral:rRNA from 1 species
UACAGAGGGUGCGAGCGUUAAUCGGAUUUACUGGGCGUAAAGGGCGCGUAGGCGGUUAUGUAAGUGAGAUGUGAAAUCCCUGGGCUUAACCUAGGAACUGCAUCUCAUACUGCGUAGCUAGAGUAUUGUAGAGGGUAGUGGAAUUUCCGGUGUAGCGGUGAAAUGCGUAGAUAUCAGGAGGAACACCAAUAGCGAAGGCAGCUCGCUGGGACGGUACUGACGCUGAGACGCGAAAGCGUGGGGAGCAAACAGG